rnacentral:lncRNA from 1 species
GGCCUGUUUGAGCAGGCAUUGCAAAUCUUAAAAACAAUAAGAUGAAUAAUCAUCACUGUUUGAUCACUGCCAUUUAUUGAGUACCUUCUCCAUGGCAGAUGCUAAGAUAAGACCUAACAUGCAUCAUCUCUGAUUUUACAAGUCUUCGAGGUUGCAGCCAUGAAAAUGCCCUGGUCAGCCAUGAUUGACCAUGACAGGGGUACUAGUGCAGGCCUGUUCCUGCUGGACAUGGAACCCCUCUAAUGGCUUAAGGACUCCCACUGGCUGGCAGAAACUUUCUUAGAACAACACUGUAGUCUAAGACUCUUCCUACUGAAUUCUCUUUCCUUCUCCCUCUCCUUUCAUGGGGGUCAGGCCUGCACUGCAGUCUGGGGCUUCCUCUGCCUACUUCAGUUCCUUCCUGAACAUUUUACAGGUGUUUCCCCCAAUAAUUCUCUUAUAUGCCUAAUCCCAUCUUGGUGCCUGCAUCUCGAAGGAACUAACACAGUGGACAGGAGUCCCAUUUUGCAGACAGACACUGGAUCAAUGAUGAAGUUACUUGUGUAAGUCCUACAGCCAACAAAUGUUAAGAGCUGGGGUUGUGUGCAGGUAUGUUUGAUUCCACAAGCCAAGUCUUAGAAGCAUACUAGGCUUCCUCUCUAAUGAUCUAUGCAGGCUUAACUGUGAGGACAGGGAGUGAUGACACAUUUCAGUUUGGCCCCUUUGUUUUGUCGAUGAGAAACCUGAGACCAGUGAGGGAAAGGAUUCGCCCAUGGGUGCCAGUGGGAGGGGUGCACCUGGGCUGUGCACAGCCAUUUCCCUCCUUUGGAGGCUGAGGGAGGAGGUCACAGGGAGGCCUCAGGGUAUGGAGGGAGGUCAGGCUGGGGGGCUUAGUGUCUGACCCACCAGCCUGGCAGGCGGGAAUGUGCCUGUAGAAGCCCACGGCCCUCUUGGGGAGAAGCCAUGAAGUGAGGACUGAGUGCUGCCUGGAGGUGCUGGCUGGGAUGCACAGGGAAGAGCUGUCAGGGUAUGGGUCUAACACUGGAACAGCUGGGGGACAUUCCCUGGAUAUCCCUGCAUUGCCUUGAGGCUCUCCCAUCCCUGUUUGAUCCGUAAGCUCCAAGGAGACAUGUUUCCCAGCCAUAAUGCCUUCUGAUCCCAAUCUCUUCUACUCUUUUCAUUGGCAAGAGUCAUUCUCACCCGGGUUUUCUUAUAUAAUAAUUAUAAACUCAUUCAGGGCCUGUGAGUGAAAAGGCACACAUAUACAUUCAGGUCUAAUAUUCACUGAGCAACCAUCAGCACAAUGGUAUGUGACCUCUUUGAAUGCUGCACUAAUGCUCCACUGUCUAGAAGGAGGCCAGACUGCUCUGGGGACCAGGUGCAGAGGGUGCCCUCAAGUGUCUAGUGUCAGAGAGAGAGGGGCUACUCCACUUUGGCCAGGGUGAACUUGAGUUGGUGAUGACAAACAUCUGCAGCUAGUCUAUUUUUCUAAUCUCACCCUCCAAACAGCCCCAUCUUCUUGCAGGGAGGAUGGGUGAAGGCAUUUUCAAAAAUGGACAUCACAUGUGACAAACAGGCAAAGGACCCUGACAGAGCCACAAAACUGACACGCUCAUGAAAACUCAGACCGCUGACAAUGGUGAGCGCCGACCAAUUCAGCGCCAGGCGUGGAGGCUUCUGGCAAGAGUGGUGGGCUCUGUGCGUCCUGAUGGUGGCAGCAGAGACCAGCUUGGGAGCCACCUGGCUCCUCUGCCCUAGCCCAUUAUGGCCUGAAUCCAAUCAAUUUCAGUUCUCAGCACUUCUGAAAACGUGCGUGGCUUAGAGUGUCUGGCAGGGCUCAGGAGAGAAAAGCAUUUCUCAGCCCCGGGACACAUAUAUGCCUCCAGGCACUGGUUGUGGCUUGCAAUCUGGGAGGGCAGGUGAACGGACACCCUCCCUCCUUGCACAGGCCUGGGAUCUGCCUUACUCAACUCCCACUUCUACCAGGAGCAGAGGAUCACCGCUGCCCAGCACCCCGCCCAUCUGAAUUCUGACUCUGGUGGCUUCAGAGAAGCAAGGUAGGGGCCAGUGCUGGUAUGAAAUGCCAGAUGAGAGGAAACUGAUGCAUGCACUUUACUCCUGACUCAGAGUGCCUGAAAUAUCUGGCAAACUGGCAAAGGAUGAAACCCUUCUUUGAGGUCUGUAGAGUAGCUUUAAGAUAAAUGAAGCCACUGAGAAGGUCCAAAACAAGGGGCCCUUAGACGUGGAAGAGGUCUGCUUUCCUGAUAACUAGAGUGGUGCUGGGCUAUGAAAACAGUCCAAAUAGAUGAGGAUAGUUCCUGAGAGCACAGGGUUCUGAAGCUGGACAAAUAUUCUUCCACCUUAAUGGCCCUCUCACUGGAGCCUUCACAGGGUUAACGAUGGUCCCGCAGGAGUUGGGGCCAUGACUGAGGACAUGGAGCUGAUGUGGAGGCAGUCAGGGCCAAGGCAAGAGCCUCCUUGUGUAUAGUGGAAACGCAAGACAGACAUCAAAGGGAGUGGGGUGUGCGGUUCCCAAGGGGCUACCAGAGUCCACUUUUAUUAAAAGUUUGUGUCUUUCUUUAGAAAGUAAUAUGUUCCAUCUCCAGCACCUGAAGGCUCCUUUCAGGGUGCCAGAAGAAUCCUCAAGGGACAGUCCCAGGCUGUGUCCUUCCUCCUGUCUUGGCUGACAUUUUUAUGCAUGGUUUAGGCAGCCCAUGGGCUUUCCAGCUUUGCAAUAAGAUCUGAUCUAAUUUCAAGCUUAUACAUAACAGAAGGGCUGGGGGAGAAGUAGGAGUUCUUUUAGAAUUGCAAAAUCCAGGUGGGUGUAGCCUGUGGGGUGCAGGCUAUCCAGCUCAAAGAGGGAGGCCCAUAUCUCAGAUUCCCUAAUGCUCGGCACAGUGUCUGGCACACAAUGGGCACACAGGAAAUCCUGCACUGAAUCAAACAGAUUUUGUAUUACCAGAUCUAGGCUGACUCACUGUGUGGUCAGGACCUUGGGUCAAUCACUUCACCUGGUGACUCACUCCCUACCUGUAAGGUGUGGAGGACAGCUGGAGUCACUGUGGCACCUGUGUGUUUAGCAGUGUGUUUGCUUGUUCCUGCUUUUAUGUCUCUGGCUGGUCUAAGAUGGAAUGAUAAAAAAAUAACGGAAUGCACUUUGUAAACGAGAGCAUCCUAGACACAUGUAAAGAUUGGAAAAUUAGAAAGCUGUCUCUACUGUAGUUACUUCUCAGAUAUGACCAACCAUUAUUAAGAAUUCAUUGGCUAAUAGGGCUACAUUUUCUCAUGAUCAUUCUUCUGUUUUAGAAGUGGGCAACUGCAGUUUUAAGAAUAAAUGUGUAAAUGUGUGUUUUCAUGAGAGACAAUAAAGCUGUUUUCAUUAAGAAUGAAAUAUGCAACUUGCAAACACUUUUACUUUUCUUGAAUUGGGUCCUUCAGCAGAAGCAGUUUGCCCAGCCCUGACAUGGAAAGUUUACUUUGCUCAUCAACCUGAAGGAGACCGAAAGCUAUGAGAGGCGGCUCCUGAAAAGAAUCUAGACUCCGGAUAUAAAAAGAUCUUGCAACACAAGGCCAAGUGGAAAUCAUGGUUCGCAUUAAAGGCAUAAACCUCCUGCACUAACAACCCAGAGCAGGAGGAAAAGCUGGGAGACCUGGCUCAGCAGCCUUCCCUGAGGGAAGCCUUCGGGGCUUUGUUCCUCUUGAGAUCAGGGCAAGCCUAUGUAUGACCUGAAGCCAAUACAACCAGCAGAGCUGAUGCCAGUGCUGGCUGCCUGAGUGCUACUAAAGAAAGAGUCCACCAUCGGCUCCCUCUUCCGUAGCCAGACACAGGUGGAAUGCUGUGCUUCCUUUUGGGAGACAAAGCAGAAGCUACCCCAGAGGGGGCAGAUGGGAGACAGGCCCAGGCAAUGCAGCCCUACAAAGAAGACUUGAAGGGCCGGGGCUGAGCAGCUUGGAUGAAGAGAAGGCUGCCUUUCAGAGCUGUUUCAAAUGUUUCAGACGUUGCUAGACAAACUAGAGUUGUAUGGCUUCAGAUGGCACAGCUUAGGGCCAUAGAGUGGGAAUCACAAGAAGGCAAACUUUAGGCCCCCAGGAGAGCUGGACAACAACCUGGAGGGUCAGAGGAGAAUGGGCUGUCCAAGGAGCGGGGAUAUGAGGGUGGGGCAGUGUGGCCAUCCCUGGAAGGGGUAAGGGAGUGGCAGAUGGUAACCAUUUGGGGUGGGGUGUGGCUGAGGAUUCCUGCAAGGCUAUCAGAGAAACUCUAAGAAUCAUAAGAAUCAAAGCUCAAGUACAUGAGGGAAGACAUAAUGAAAUCCCUAAAGUUCUGAGAGGUUGUACCAGAUUCUUUAUGGAGAAUACAGAGAGAAUGCCUCCUGACUCCUCAUUCACAGAGUGCCAGGCAGCAGCAAGGAGAAGCUGGUGGCCUUGGGAGGGCAAAAACUAAGGACAAGGUCCACAAUGCAAUCAGCUCACAUCACCUACGAACAAAUAAAGUGGGGUGGGGGUGGAGAGUUGCUAGAGUUUACGUAACUCUCAAGCCUUAAUUUAGCUGCAAGAACUAGGUUUUUGCCAAAGCUAUAGAACUUCCCACCAGAUGAAAGCUUUAUCUCUUUUUCUUUCUUAGGAGAAGAGAGACAGAAGGAGAGAAGAGGGGCAGGAGGAGAGAAAACACAAGAAAGAGGAUGGAAGAUAAAGAGGAAGGCCAGAGUGAGGCAGGAGAAAGCUGAGCUGGAACCUAACUCCUGUUGAUCUGCUGCAGAGACCCUCUCAUUCCACAAUUGCUCCCGCCAUGCCAAGGAGACAAGCUCAACAUACAAAGAACAAGGAGAGAACAAUGGAAGAUGGCCUAUAAUUCAGAAGCACAUUGGGUGGAGCAUAUUGCACAUGUAGAAGCUUGUCACGGAACCCAAGAAAGCUGGAGGAACCUGGGAAGGCUUCCUGGAAGAAGGGAAAGCUGAGUUCUCUUAUCACCACUCCACCAUUUGUUCAUGUCCUCAUGUACAUAUUCAACAAACAUUUAUUGAGGGCUGAGUGUGGCUUUGUGUAUCCCAGAUAAACUAGUAUCCUGAUCUUAGCCAUGGAUCUCAGCUGCUACUAUCUCAUUCCCCACCAUGGGCAAUAAGAUGCAUACUGGUAGGGAAAAUUCUGGCAAAUUUUGUAAAGUUUAUCCAUAGGCAUAAACACUUUACCCUGUGUUAUGCUCAGAAGAGGAACACACAUUUAUUAAGCACCUACCACAUCUGCAAAUAACUUUACUCCCAAAAACUGAUUUGAUACUUAAGCAGCUUUUGUAAGGUGUGUUUCAUUCCCUAAAACUAAAGUUCAGAGAGGUUAAAAGAUUUAUCCAAGGUCACACAUUCAAGGUGGAGCCAAGAUGCACAACUAAGUCUAUUACUGUUUUUUUCAUACUCCCCCACUUCUCUGUCUCCCUCUUUCUAUUCUCAGCUGCAGACUCUGCCAGCUGCAAACUUCUUUAGUAGUUAUUCCUGAUUACUUCUGCUCCUGGUGAGCUCAUCACCUGAUUAAAGGGCUCCUAGCUUCACCAGACCUUGGAGAUGACAAACAGAUGACCCUGGAGAGGCAGGCUCUCUAGGGCUGUUCCAUUUUGGUCUGGCCCCCAUUCCAGCCGGGGAUAUAGUUCAAACCCUGACUCUGAGUUGAGCCCAAGAAAAUAAGACCAAGAUGAAAGCUUAAGUGCAUCCCCUGAAAGGCUCUUAUCUCCAGGCUAAGCUUGGAAGUGGGGAGACAGAGCACCACAACCCAACUUGGGGAUGUUGUCUCUUGUAGAAACACCUUCCUCAGUAACAGAAGGGUAGCUGCCCCUAUGUCCUAGAGAGCGGGAGUAAGAGAAAGUGGCUCCUUGCCUCUGAGAUUUGCUUAGCUGAUCCUCCCUCACCCCAACCAUAGCUCUUAACAAACCCAGGUACGCAUAAAUAUAAAUACCACCCUAUGUGUAUUUCCUGUGCCCUCCCUUUUCUCUUUCCUGAGGAGUUAUGGAGAGAAAAUAAAUGCCAGAAUUACAGAAAACUAGGUAUAAAUCUACUCACUAGCUUUAUGGCCUUGCAUCUAUUUCCCAUAUAAGCUGGCAGGGUUGGGAUUCUGUCUAGCUCUUUCCAUUUAUCAUGAUGUCCUCUUUUUGGUUCUUUUAGAUUUUGCAUCGGGUUGAUGUAGUGGAUGCUGUAGUCCACUACCCAGAUUCCUUCCCCAACCCACAACAAUGAGGUUCUCAUUCCGGAGCUGCUAGGAGGGAUGCCAGAUAAUAGCACACAGCUGAACUUCUCUUCAGCUAUUGCCCUCAGAUUAAGAAAGCUGCCUUGCUCAAGGUUACACGCCUUUCCUGGGAAACCAGUAUCCAAUGACUGGUUCCUGUAAAAGGAAUGGAGCUGCCUUAAAAGAGCUGCCUUGCUUCAAUUUGGGAAGACUAUGAAGAGCCAUCCCAGCUCUGGAGUUCUCCGUAGGGUUGGGUUUUUGAGACUAUGCAGAAGUUAUUCCAUGAGUUCCAAGCCCAGGUCAUGAAAGAUAACUUGUAAUAAAUCUGGCUACCCUGAAGCUGCCAUGCUUGAGAGACCACACGAGAUGGAGAGAGAUGCUUAGGAGUCCCAGCUGUCCAAGCCUCCAGCUAUGUGAAUCUUCCCAGCAGCAACUGCCAGACAUGUGGUACACCCAAAAUGACUUUGGGGCUACACUUGGAAUUGGCAAGGUUCCAGAAAACAGAGGGACUAUCAUCAGAGACAGCGCACAAAAAGUGGGAGAAAGGUCACCAGCCUCACUCAUGUUUAGGGCUAUUAUGAAUAAAGCUGCUAUGAACACUUGUUUACAAGUUCUUUGUGAGGACACAUGUUUUCAUUUAUCUUGGGAAAAUACCUAGAGAUGGAACUCUGGGACACAUGGUAAUAAAGUAUAUUGGCAUAAUGCAAGAGUCAAGAUGCAGAAAAUAACUACUGUGUGAUGUCUCUCUCCCAGCUUUAACCCGCCUGAAGGGCAGCACUGAGUUCAACACACUGUCCCACAAUUGUUGCACUCUCACACUGAAGUGAACAGAUUCUUUCUCCGUGCCGUGCAGCUCCCGGCAGAGGAUGAGGGAAGGGUACCAUCGGUGAUUCAGCACUGUGUUUCCUAUCCUCUUCAAUGACUCUUUCAGCGAUAUGAAGGUAAAACCAGGUACUGUGAGUGCUCAUCUUAUUUUUGGUUCUUUUGAAGGUGUUUUUUGGUGUAGAUAGUUAUUAAAUUUGGUGUUCCCGCAUGGGGGAACAAUUGAUAGAGCCUUCUAUUUGAUCAUUUUGCUCUGCUCAUUCUAUAUACCACAUUUUCUUUAUCAAAUCUUAUUUAAUUUUGAUUCCAUAAUUUACUAAAGACUAAAUGUGAUAUGCUAAGUUUUUCACAACAAUUAUAUUUUAUCCCACUUUUUUGUCUUCAAAUAGCUUUUGCUUUUGUAUUUCUGUGCUAUGUUAUAGUACAUUACACAUUCAUUGUGGAUUGCAACUUUUAUAAAACAAUCCUCUAUCCAAAGCAUUUUCCUCUGGAGUUUUAUUUUAACCAAUAUUAAUAGUGCCACUACUACCUUGUUCUGACUUUUGCUUUUUUUGAUUUAAAAAUAUAUUUGUUUUAUUUUUGUCUGAUUUUUCUCUAUCUUUAUUUGUAAAUCUUUUGUGUCAUUUGAGUUAGGUGAAUGGAGCACAUGGCUAUGCUUUGUUUUAAAUGAAAGUCUUUGUCAUCCAGCGGAGGACUUUAAUUCAUUUACAUUUAUUGACAUAAAUGUUGGUAGGUCUUAUUUCUCUCAUCUUGCUUUACAAUUUCUAUUUUACUGCUUGUAUUGCUUUUAUUUUGAUGCUUCCUUAUUUCUUCAUCUUUAAAGUAUAUGUACUGCUAUUUUCCUACCAUAAUUACAUUUCUCUAAUUACAAAUAUGAAACUCUGAAUCUCUUCCUUACCAAUCCUAUGUAAAAUAAGAAAUUUAUCAAGCUGGUGGGCUUGAUAAAGGGCUUACCCAUUCCUGUUUCUAAACAAACAAUUAUGCUUAUUUAAACAAUCUGUUCCAAACAACUACCAGCAAAAAUGUGAACUGUUCUUCAUUAGUCUACUAAUUGAAUUUUCUAACUAUCCUGAUGCCAGGAACACCAUGUAUCAGUUAUGCCUAAAAUGUCAUUUAAAAAUAAAAUUGCUUGAGGACAAAUCAGAAAUUAGCAUCUUUAACUAUUUAACUAUUUAAUUACUUUAAGGGCUCCUGGUCAUAGUUUCCACAUUCUACUUCCUUCUCUGUUACAGACUUGAAAGCGUGUGUCAGAUCCCUUCACUAUAUCUUCAGACCUGCCCCAAGGAGUGAGGAAGGGCAACACCAAGAACUUCUCUCCAAGGACCAUAACCUGCGAACCCCAUCUCACCUCCUCCUGCCAGAUGGACACAGUCAUUGUCCUCCUGGCUGAUCCCAUGUCCAUGUCUUGCUCUGGCUACUUUCAUACACCCAUAAUGACAUUUUCCAUCUACUCAAUUUUUUAAAAGCUCAGCUCGAACCUCACGGAUUUUCCUGACAAUCUGCUUCUCUCAAUGGCCUUAAUUUAAGUGAGGGUUGUCAGUCUUACUGGGUCUCGUUUUUUGUCUUAAAUAAUAACUAUUUAUGGGUAUCAAGUGUCUCCUCAAUUUGGCUAUGAUCCUUCACGGCAGAAAUACUGUCUUAUCUUGUGAUCAUGGAGUCACAAGAUUUCAUGGCUAGGAAUAUUCGUCAAAUUAAUCCUAGAUUGAGGAUCAGGUAGUAUGUGGUCUGAUUCUAACUCAACAACUUGCAGAAACUCACUUCUUUUUUCUUUUUUUUUCCCCAGGAGGAGCUAUCGUAUUAACUGACGAAACUCACUUCAUUUCUUUGGACCUGCAAAAUGAGGAUGGGCUCUAAACCACCUCUAAAGUUAAUAUUCUAUGAUUCCAUGAUAAGGCUAUUUGUCAUUUAUAAAAAAAGGAACUUCCACAUAGCCCAGAGAAAGGAAAUGACUUUUUCAAGUUUACAGAGUCAAUUAAUGGACGAAAUGUAAUUUGAAAUUCAAUCUCCUGAUCCCCAGUCUAUUGGGAGUUCUUUCAGAAUGUCCCUUGACUGUCCCUCAAAGUGCCAGCAUGUAUGAAACCUUGUUAAGGAUGUAUGCUCAAUGAAAAUACACAAAUUGACUUAACAAGAAACUAAACUCUCCAGAAAGAUGCAGUUGACCCAAAACUCUGAAUAUCUUUUAUGUUUAAAACUUUCUUUUUUGAACAAAAUUGUACAGUUACUUCUCUAUUUCAACUCUUAAGCCUUUUAUGCCACGUCAAAGGUUAGCUCUCUUUUCUCUCUGUUAAUAAAGUCUUAUUCUUGACUUUGGAACUGUAUGCCAA